ncrna:Branchiostoma floridae (Florida lancelet) microRNA bfl-mir-216 precursor
UGGUUGUGUAAUCUCAGCUGGCAACUGUGAGUCUAACUUCACAUCCUCACGGUGCAAGCUGGGAUCGCUCAAACU